rnacentral:ncRNA from 1 species
AGGAAAGCGACGAGAAGGAGAAGUAGAAAAUCAGGCUUUUUACAGAGAGAACCACCUUUUGGCUGGAAGUGGUUUAUAAGCGGAUUUUUGAAAUGCCCCUUCGAGUCUUCUACUGAACAACGAAGAGUUUCGUGAAACGUCGUAAGGGCGCAAAGUAAGUAGAAGCGGUAUAAACCGUUAUCAUAAUGAGUUUGAGGCUUUAUUUAAGCCUAAACAGAGUGGAACCGCGCUUAAAAGGCGUCUCUGUC